rnacentral:rRNA from 1 species
CGCAGAGAAUAGGCCCAAGCGACUGUUUACCAAAAACAUAGGUUUCUGCUAAGUCGCAAGACGAUGUAUAGGAGCUGACGCCUGCCCGGUGCUGGAAGGUUAAGGGGAUCUGUUAGAGCAAUCGAAGCAGUGAACUUAAGCCCCAGUAAACGGCGGCCGUAACUAUAACGGUCCUAAGGUAGCGAAAUUCCUUGUCGGGUAAGUUCCGACCCGCACGAAAGGCGUAACGAUUUGGGCACUGUCUCAACAACAGACUCGGUGAAAUUGUAAUUCCGGUGAAGAUGCCGGAUACCUGCGACAGGACGGAAAGACCCCAUGGAGCUUUACUGUAGCUUGACAUUGGGUCUUGGUACUACAUGUACAGGAUAGGUGGGAGGCUUUGAAACCAGGACGCCAGUUUUGGCGGAGCCAUCCUUGGGAUACCACCCUUGUAGUACUGGGACUCUAACCAUAGGCCAUGAAUCUGGUCUUGGGACACUGUCAGGUGGGCAGUUUGACUGGGGCGGUCGCCUCCCAAAAGGUAACGGAGGCGCUCAAAGGUUCUCUCAGUACGGUCGGAAAUCGUACGUAGAGUGUAAAGGCAAAAGAGAGCUUGAUUGCAAGACAUACAGGUCGAGCAAGGAUGAAAAUCGGACUUAGUGAUCCGGUGGUUCUGCGUGGAAGGGCCAUCGCUCAACGGAUAAAAGCUACCCUGGGGAUAACAGGCUUAUCUCCCCCAAGAGUCCACAUCGACGGGGAGGUUUGGCACCUCGAUGUCGGCUCAUCACAUCCUGGGGCUGUAGUAGGUCCCAAGGGUUGGGCUGUUCGCCCAUUAAAGUGGUACGCGAGCUGGGUUCAGAACGUCGUGAGACAGUUCGGUCCCUAUCCGUCGCAGGCGUAGGAAAUUUGAGAAGACCUGUCCUUAGUACGAGAGGACCGGGAUGGACGUACCUCUGGUGUACCAGUUGUCCUGCCAAGGGCAUGGCUGGGUAGCUAUGUACGGAAUGGAUAAGCGCUGAAAGCAUCUAAGCGCGAAGCCAACUUCAAGAUAAGAUUUCCCACCGCAAGGGUAAGACCCCAGAAAGACUAUCUGGUUGAUAGGUCGAAGGUGUAAGUGCAGCAAUGUAUUUAGCUUAUCGAUACUAAUAGGUCGAGGACUUGACCAA